AGAAGAAGAAAACAUGACGGUGAAAAGGGGAAGCACGACGGAAGAAGGAGAAGAGGGUGGCGACAGAGGUGGCGGUGACAGAUAAGGAGGCUAGAUCGAGAGAGAAGGGAAGAGGAGACAAGAAUGUAUACUACAAGUUCAACGACAUCUAUCAAGUCCCAUCUCACAGAUCCAUUUCUACUCUUCAAUCUUCGAGUAUUUCGUGCAAUUCGAAGCUUCGAUCUUUGGGGUAUGGACAGUGUUGGUUCAGAAAAGAUAAAAGGAAGGAAAAGCCAGUGGAGGGUGAGAACAAGAUCAAGUGCAAAAUGAAGACUAUGAAUUGCAAGUUCUGGAGAAAACUUAUGCUGCUGCAGAUACAUUUGGUUUAGACAGUUCUCAGGCUGUUGUUAUGGAACUUCAACAAAAUCGCUUGGAUUUUCAUGCUGAAAAUAGAGUAGAGAAGAGAAAAUGCUUAGUCUACAGGCUAUUUUUUUUUUCUCUUUUUAUCAAGGAUAUCAGCAGGUCAGGUUUCUCUUAAUAUUAAGAAAAUUCCUUCUUCUACUUAUGCCAAUGUUUUGCUCAGGAAUUG